UACGAAGGGGGCUAGCGUUGCUCGGAAUUACUGGGCGUAAAGGGCGCGUAGGCGGAUAGUUUAGUCAGAGGUGAAAGCCCAGGGCUCAACCUUGGAAUUGCCUUUGAUACUGGCUGUCUUGAGUACGGGAGAGGUGAGUGGAACUCCGAGUGUAGAGGUGAAAUUCGUAGAUAUUCGGAAGAACACCAGUGGCGAAGGCGACUUACUGGACACAUAUUGACGCUGAGGUGCGAAAGCGUGGGGAGCAAACAGG
rnacentral:rRNA from 1 species